GGGGGUGCACCGGUUUCGACCUGGGCGGGUACCGCGCAGGGGAAGCGGGCCGACGUCGCCACAUGCGUCGUGAAACAGGUGGCAACCAACAAGCGCCAACACUGAGUUCGCGCUCGCUGCCUAACGAGGCAGCCGUCCGCCGCGGCAGGCCUGCGACCGCGGAUCGGGCGUCGUGAGCAGGCUCACGGCGGCGGCUCCGCCCGGGGGCCGUCGCCGGACACCGAACCCGGGCUGGCCGAGAGGUGCUCCGCCGGCGGGAGCCUCGAGGCGAGAUCGCACCGCCGGCUGCGCCCGGAGAAGCCCUGCCCGGUCGUCCGGGGACGGGGGUUCGACUCCCCCCACCUCCAC
rnacentral:tmRNA from 1 species